rnacentral:sRNA from 1 species
ACACCUGUUUUAUUGCUGUUAUUAGGUUGAGGCCGAGAUUAGCCUUGUUCGAUUUUUUACACAAUAGCCCUGUAAAAAAUUGAACACAGCCCGCUGAGCGCUGCGCCAGGCAAGGCGUUGCAGGGGCCUGCGAUGCCCUGAAACGCCCCAAAACUGGCCAUCAAGCCCCAUUUCAGGGCAA